rnacentral:rRNA from 1 species
CGUGUAGGCGGUUGGUCAAGUCGGGUGUGAAAGCCUGGGGCUCAGCCCCAGAAGUGCAUCCGAAACUAGCCAGCUAGAGCGCGAUAGAGGAGGGUGGAAUUCCUGGUGUAGCGGUGAAAUGCGUAGAUAUCAGGAGGAACACCGGCGGCGAAGGCGGCCCUCUGGAUCGUUGCUGACGCUGAGACGCGAAAGCGUGGGGAGCAAACAGGAUUAGAUACCCUGGUAGUCCACGCCUUAAACGAUGGGUACUAGGCGUUCGGGGUGUUGACCCCCUGAGUGCCGCAGUUAACGCAUUAAGUACCCCGCCUGGGGACUACGGCCGCAAGGUUAAA